GCUAAGGUCCCAAAUCAUAUCUAAGUGGGAAAGGAGGUGGAGAUUCUUAAACAACUAGGAGGUUGGCUUAGAAGCAGCCAUUCCUUGAAAGAGUGCGUAAUAGCUCACUAGUCGAGAGUCUCUGCGCCGACAAUGUAACGGGGCUAAGAUAUGAACCGAAGCUGUGGAUGUCGUAAGACAUGGUAGGAGAGCGUUCUGUAGGCCGU
rnacentral:rRNA from 1 species